GACGAACGCUGGCGGCGUGCUUAACACAUGCAAGUCGAACGGAAAGGCCCUGCUUUUGUGGGGUGCUCGAGUGGCGAACGGGUGAGUAACACGUGAGUAACCUGCCCUUGACUUUGGGAUAACUUCAGGAAACUGGGGCUAAUACCGGAUAGGAGCUCCUGCUGCAUGGUGGGGGUUGGAAAGUUUCGGCGGUUGGGGAUGGACUCGCGGCUUAUCAGCUUGUUGGUGGGGUAGUGGCUUACCAAGGCUUUGACGGGUAGCCGGCCUGAGAGGGUGACCGGCCACAUUGGGACUGAGAUAGGGCCCAGACGCAUAAGGGAGGCAGAAGUGGGGAAUAUUGCACAAUGGGCGGAAGCCUGAUGCAGCAACGCCGCGUGCGGGAUGACGGCCUUCGGGUGGUAAACCGCUUUCGCCUGUGACGAAGCGUGAGUGACGGUAAUGGGUAAAGAAGCACCGGCUAACUACGUG
rnacentral:rRNA from 1 species